rnacentral:tRNA from 2 species
GGAAGCGUGCCGGAGUGGUUUAUCGGGCUUGUCUUGAAAACAAGUGUGGUCGCAAGACCACCAGAGGUUCGAAUCCUCUCGCUUCCGCCA